rnacentral:rRNA from 1 species
UACAGAGGGGGCGAGCGUUAUUCGGAAUUAUUGGGCGGUAAAGGGCGCGUAGGCGGCCUGGCAAGUGACGGGUGAAAGUCCCUCCGGCCUUAACCGAGGAACUGCCUGUCAAUACUGCUGGGCUUGAGUCCGGGAGAGGUGAGUGGAAUUCCCAGUGUAGCGGUGAAAUGCGUAGAUAUUGGGAAGAACACCGGUGGCGAAGGCGGCGCUCUGGACCGAGAACUGACGACUGAGGCGGCGAAAAGCGUGGGGAGCCAAACAGGGG